AGCUCCAAUAGCGUAUAUUAAAGUUGUUGCAGUUAAAAAGCUCGUAGUUGAAGUUUGGUCUCGGACGCUGGGUCUGCUUAAUUGCAUGUACUUGACGGUCCGAGACUUCCUUCUUGGUGAACGGCCGCCUUCGGGUGGUCCGGAACCAGGACUAUUACUUUGAAAAAAUUAGAGUGUUCAAAGCAGGCCAUAGGCCCGAAUAUAUUAGCAUGGAAUAACAGAAUAGGACGUGCGGUUCUAUUUUGUUGGUUUCUAGAACUGCCGUAAUGAUUAAAAGGGACAGCCGGGGGCAUUAGUAUUUGCACGCUAGAGGUGAAAUUCUUGGAUUGUGCAAAGACUUCCUACUGCGAAAGCAUUUGCCAAGAAUGUUUUCA
rnacentral:rRNA from 1 species